UGACCUCGGAUCAGGUAGGACUACCCGCUGAACUUAAGCAUAUCAAUAAGCGGAGGAAAAGAAACCAACAGGGAUUGCCCCAGUAACGGCGAGUGAAGCGGCAACAGCUCAGAUUUGGAAUCUGGCCCCUAGGGCCCGAGUUGUAAUCUGGAGAGGAUGUUUCUGGCGCGGCGCCUUCCGAGUUCCCUGGAACGGGACGCCGGAGAGGGUGAGAGCCCCGUACGGUUGGACGCCUAGCCUUUGUGAAGCUCCUUCGACGAGUCGAGUAGUUUGGGAAUGCUGCUCAAAAUGGGAGGUAAAUUUCUUCUAAAGCUAAAUACCGGCCAGAGACCGAUAGCGCACAAGUAGAGUGAUCGAAAGAUGAAAAGCACUUUGAAAAGAGG
rnacentral:rRNA from 2 species